rnacentral:tRNA from 1 species
GGCGGGGUAGCCAAGUGGUAAGGCCGAGGUCUGCAAAACCUCUAUCCGCGGGUUCGAUUCCCGCCCCCGCCU